ACACGCAUGACACACUGCAUAUCAAUAAGCGGAGGAAAAGAAACUAACUAGGAUUCCCUUAGUAACGGCGAGUGAAGCGGGAAGAGCUCAAAUUUGAAAUCUUCAAGGUUCUACCUUGACGAAUUGUAGUUUAAAGAAGUGUUUUCUGUUGGAGUUUUGGUAAAAGUUCUUUGGAAUAGGACAUCAUAGAGGGUGAGAAUCCCGUAUUUGACCAUUAUUUCCAGCUGUGUGAUACACUUUCAAAGAGUCGGAUUGUUUGGGAAUGCAGUCCAAAAUGGGUGGUAAAUUUCAUCUAAAGCUAAAUAUUGGCGAGAGACCGAUAGCGAACAAGUACCGUGAGGGAAAGAUGAAAAGAACUUUGAAAAGAGAGUUAAACAGUACGUGAAAUUGUCAAAAGGGAAGCGUUUGACACCAGUGUUGUUUUCUCGAAAAUCAAUUAAAAAUGAUGGGAUUUUGUGUUGUAUUGACUUUAUCAGCUUUCUGCACUUUUUUCUUAUCUUUUUUAAUGCACUUUUCGUUUAACAAGUCAACAUCAAUUUCUUUUGUUGUAAAAGAGUCAUUGGAAGGUGGCUUUUUCUUCGGAAAAAGUGUUUAUAGCCUUUGGCUUCUGCAAUCGGAGAGAUUGAGGUCUGCAGCGUAGAUCCUUCGGGGUUAGAUACAUUUGUGCUAAGCUAUAGUUCUUUAUAGACAACUUGUUGACUAUAAUCAAUCCUGUAACUUACUCGCUUAUGCUAUUUUACCUACGCUUAGGAUGUUGACUGAUAUGUAGUCGUA
rnacentral:rRNA from 1 species